rnacentral:rRNA from 1 species
CCUACGGGAGGCAGCAGUGGGGAAUAUUGCACAAUGGGCGAAAGCCUGAUGCAGCAACGCCGCGUGAGGGAUGACGGCCUUCGGGUUGUAAACCUCUUUUAGUAGGGAAGAAGCGAAAGUGACGGUACCUGCAGAAAAAGCACCGGCUAACUACGUGCCAGCAGCCGCGGUAAU